rnacentral:rRNA from 1 species
AACGAACGCUGGCGGCGUGCCUAACACAUGCAAGUCGAGCGCGAAAAGAGCAAUCCAAGUAGAGCGGCGCACGGGUGCGUAACACGUGGGUAAUCUGCCUCGAGGUCCGGGAUAACCAUUCGAAAGUUUGGCUAAUACCGGUUAAGCUCACGGUGACUUCGGUCGCUGUGAGAAAAGGGGCCCGAAAGGGUCUCGCCCCGAGAUGAGCCCGCGGCCCAUCAGCUCGUGGGCGGGGUAACGGCCCACCAAGGCAACGACGGGUGGCUGGUCUGAGAGGACGAUCAGCCACACUGGAACUGAGACACGGUCCAGACUCCUACGGGAGGCAGCAGUGGGGAAUUUUGCACAAUGGGCGAAAGCCUGAUGCAGCAACGCCGCGUGUGUGAUGAAGGUCUUCGGAUCGUAAAGCACUUUCGACCGGGACGAACAAGCCUGGCCACACCAGGCCCUGACGGUACCGGGAGAAGAAGCACCGGCUAACUCUGUGCCAGCAGCCGCCGUAA